GCCUCGGGCCCCCCCAGCGUCCAGUGCACUCCAGCGCCUACGUCUGUCGCCGGUUCUCUCGCCCUCUGCGUGCUUUCUGCUUCCACUCACCUGCUGCCGCGUCCCUGCGACCGUCGGUGCGGGACUCCCUGCCCGAGCAGACCUUAUGCACACAUGGCGUCUCUUUCUCAUCUUCCAGUCCUUAGCUUGAAGCUCAGAGUCCCGUGCGGUUCACGAGCAUUAGAGUCUGUAACUGUCCUUUGUCCUGGGCUGUCUUCCAAAGAUACGCAUAUAAAGAACAGCCUUGGAAGACAGAGAUGGUGUCACGUCUGGUGCGAAGGACUGGGGUUCUGAGCUCCCUGUGCUCAGGCUUCCUGUCCUGCGACACUACCCCGCCAUGUGCAGCAUCUGUCUGGCCCAUCGGAGCCACCCUGUGGGAAUGGGUGCUUUUGAGGCAUUUGCAGGGAGGCUGAUAAUGUGGCUCCUGCUCUUACCUGAGAAUAAAAUGUCCUUUAUCUCUGAA